UACGUAGGGUGCAAGCGUUGUCCGGAAUUAUUGGGCGUAAAGAGCGUGUAGGCGGCUGGGUAGGUCCGUUGUGAAAACUCGAGGCUCAACCUCGAGACGCCGAUGGAAACCCUCCAGCUAGAGUCCGGAAGAGGAGAGUGGAAUUCCUGGUGUAGCGGUGAAAUGCGCAGAUAUCAGGAAGAACACCCGUGGCUAAGGCGGCUCUCUAGUACGGUACUGACGCUGAGACGCGAAAGCGUGGGGAGCGAACAGG
rnacentral:rRNA from 1 species